AUGAACGCUGGCGGCGUGCUUAACCCAUGCAAGUCGAACGGUGAACACCGUAGCUCUGCUCUGUGGGAUCAGUGGCGAACGGGUGAGUAACACGUGAGCAACCUGCCCCUGACUCUGGGAUAAGCGCUGGAAACGGCGUCUAAUACUGGAUAUGUGACGUGACCGCAUGGUCUGCGUCUGGAAAGAAUUUCGGUUGGGGAUGGGCUCGCGGCCUAUCAGCUUGUUGGUGAGGUAAUGGCUCACCAAGGCGUCGACGGGUAGCCGGCCUGAGAGGGUGACCGGCCACACUGGGACUGAGACACGGCCCAGACUCCUACGGGAGGCAGCAGUGGGGAAUAUUGCACAAUGGGCGCAAGCCUGAUGCAGCAACGCCGCGUGAGGGACGACGGCCUUCGGGUUGUAAACCUCUUUUAGCAGGGAAGAAGCGAAAGUGACGGUACCUGCAGAAAAAGCGCCGGCUAACUACGUGCCAGCAGCCGCGGUAAUACGUAGGGCGCAAGCGUUAUCCGGAAUUAUUGGGCGUAAAGAGCUCGUAGGCGGUUUGUCGCGUCUGCUGUGAAAUCCGGAGGCUCAACCUCCGGCCUGCAGUGGGUACGGGCAGACUAGAGUGCGGUAGGGGAGAUUGGAAUUCCUGGUGUAGCGGUGGAAUGCGCAGAUAUCAGGAGGAACACCGAUGGCGAAGGCAGAUCUCUGGGCCGUAACUGACGCUGAGGAGCGAAAGGGUGGGGAGCAAACAGGCUUAGAUA
rnacentral:rRNA from 1 species